CACGGUAGCAACCUCACCAUAUCUGUUCUGUUGCAAUGUCUUCUCAUGCUAGACAAAAUUCCGGACACAUUGUAUUUGCAAAUGGACAAUUGUCCUGGACAGAAUAAAAACCGAUAUAUACUUGGAUUCCUCUGUUGGUUGGUGGAGAUUGGCGUAUUCAAAAAAAUCAAAGUGUCAUUCCUCAUGGUCGGACACACGCAUGAGGAUAUAGAUCAAGUAUUCUCCAGAUUUUCUAGCCUCCUUUCCAGGCGGAGUGCUUUGACUCUAACCAAAUUAAUAACUGCGUUUGAAAGGUGUUACACUCCGGUACCAACAGGAAUAAGAACGGACAGAGUAUACAAUAUUUCAGAAGCCUUGGACCUUGAAAAUAUUUCAGGCCAUUCAAAGCCGCAUGCUUUUAAAAUAAUUAAGGAAGACGCAAAAGCGAC